rnacentral:tRNA from 1 species
GGGCGUGUGGUCUAGUGGUAUGAUUCUCGCUUUGGGCGAAAUUGGGGUAAACCCUAAUUGCAUACGCUAAACUUGUGAGAGGCCCUGGGUUCAAUUCCCAGCUCGCCCC